UUAUCAGUGAGGUUAAUCCUUACCUGUUCCUCCUCCGGGAGAAACAGCACAUGAUGAAUGGAGGAGGCUGAGUCACUGAUUACUCUGUACUCCGAUUCUGUCUGAUGCGACAACACUAUUCAGGUAGAGCCAUUCUGAU
ensembl:snoRNA U8 U8 small nucleolar RNA